GACGAACGCUGGCGGCGUGCUUAAUACAUGCAAGUCAACUGAACUUGAGGUAGCAAUAUCACAAGAGAGGUGGCGCACGGGUGAGUAACACGUAGGUAAUCUGCCUUUAGGUCUGACAUAAUUCCGCGAAAGCGGGACUAAUAUCAGAUGAUGCAGCGGCUCGACAUCGAGACAGUUGUUAAACCUUCGGGGCCUAAAGAUGAGCCUGCGUCUGAUUAGGUAGUUGGCGGAGUAAAAGCCCACCAAGCCUGCGAUCAGUAGCUGGUCUGAGAGGAUGAUCAGCCACACUGGAACUGAGACACGGUCCAGACUCCGUACGGGAGCAGCAGUAAGAUAUUGCUCAA
rnacentral:rRNA from 1 species